UAUGGUAAAAAGGUGAAAACCUUUUUUACCCCCAAAACUCUGUGCAAUGGAGCACACGGCUUGUGCAUCGAAGCCCGCGGCAAAAAGCGAUAUGUAAUGAGAUUCGUUAGCCUCGCGAUUCAUCAAAUUGGUGAACACAUACUGGACCUCUUCGGAGGUACUUGCGUUAGAGUGCUAGUUUUAUAUCAAUUGAUCCUGGUAAAAGGUGUUUGAAUCGUUAGGUUCUUACGCCCUAGCCGGUGUAGCCGGAUUCUCUUUGAGAAACCGGAUUGUUCCUGAAUCUGAUGAUUUAGUUGUUUGUUCUCUGCUCUACCUCCUCAAUUGCGAGGCUUCGGGUACGGCGUGAAAGCUCAUAACUAGAUUGUUAACCUCAGGUCAAUCAUUUUUCAUAUAACUGGCCUCUAAUGUGAGAGGGUACCCCCUGGAUUUAAGCAUAU
rnacentral:misc_RNA from 1 species